rnacentral:rRNA from 1 species
CCUACGGGAGGCAGCAGUGAGGAAUAUUGGUCAAUGGGCGCGAGCCUGAACCAGCCAAGCCGCGUGAAGGAUGACUGCUCUACGGAUUGUAAACUUCUUUUGUCAGGGAAUAAAGUCAGGCACGUGUCCCCGUUUGAAUGUACCUUAUGAAUAAGGAUCGGCUAACUCCGUGCCAGCAGCCGCGGUAAUACGGAGGAUCCGAGCGUUAUCCGGAUUUAUUGGGUUUAAAGGGUGCGUAGGCGGUAUGUUAAGUCAGGGGUGAAAGUGCGGGGCUCAACCCCAAAACUGCCUUUGAUACUGGCAGUCUGGAGUAGAGGUGAGGUAUGCGGAAUGCGGGGUGUAGCGGUGAAAUGCGUAGAUAUCGCGAAGAACUCCGAUUGCGAAGGCAGCUUACC